CUGCAGGGGAGAAAAUGGACCAUUCUCAUCAAUGAAAAAGGUUGGACAACUAGGUGCCCAUGACCAACUCCUCAUUGUGGAUGGAUUUAGUCUGGUUGGACUUUCUCAGGAAAGGGCAGCAGAACUCAUGACUAGUACCAGUCCCAUGGUUACCCUGGAAGUUGCAAAUCAAGGCAUCCUCUCUCACUGCCUGUCCACCUUUCUUACCCAGCCAUUGUCCUCCAUGGUGCAGAGAGUUAAGAGCUAGUGACUCAAGCCAGGUUAGCCAACAUAUAGUGAUGCUAUAUUGAGAUAUGGCUCCUCCUAAAAGUUAUCAAAAUCUGGGGCUGGAAAGAUGGUUCAGUAUUUUACAACACCAGUGUUAGCCCAAAACUGCCCGAAACUCUAAUUUCAUGGGAUUUAAAGCACUCUUCUAAGUUCUCUGGAUUCGUGUGCACACAUGCUGAGCAAACACUCAUACACAUAAAUUAUUUUUAUAAAGAGAGCCCCUAAAAUUCCCAUGUAGUAGCUCCUACCACAGCUCUUGCUCAGCUCUUCAAGGAAGAAGUUAGUUGAGACAGAGUGCAUGAUGCUGAGAAAUACUUCUGGAUCAUGAUUCAGAUCAGAUCUAAUGGUACGGUU
rnacentral:lncRNA from 1 species